rnacentral:rRNA from 1 species
AAUAGAUACCCCGGUAGUCCACGCCGUAAACGAUGAGUGCUAAGUGUUAGAGGGUUUCCACCCUUUAGUGCUGCAGCUAACGCAUUAAGCACUCCGCCUGGGGAGUACGGCCGCAAGGCUGAAACUCAAAGGAAUUGACGGGGGCCCGCACAAGCGGUGGAGCAUGUGGUUUAAUUCGAAGCAACGCGAAGAACCUUACCAGGUCUUGACAUCCUCUGCCAACCCUAGAGAUAGGGCGUUCCCCUUCGGGGGACAGAGUGACAGGUGGUGCAUGGUUGUCGUCAGCUCGUGUCGUGAGAUGUUGGGUUAAGUCCCGCAACGAGCGCAACCCUUGAUCUUAGUUGCCAGCAUUCAGUUGGGCACUCUAAGGUGACUGCCGGUGACAAACCGGAGGAAGGUGGGGAUGACGUCAAAUCAUCAUGCCCCUUAUGACCUGGGCUACACACGUGCUACAAUGGAUGGUACAAAGAGCUGCGAACCCGCGAGGGUAAGCGAAUCUCAUAAAGCCAUUCUCAGUUCGGAUUGUAGG